GUCCUAGGGGAGGGAUAGCAUUAGUAGAAAUACCUAAUGUAGCUGAUGGGUUGAUGGGUACAGUAAACCACCAUGGCAUAUGUGUGCCUAUGUAAAAAACCUGCAUGUUCUUCACAUAUAUCCCAGAACUUAAGGUAUAAUACAAAACAAACAAACCAACAUUAAUUCAGGUUGUUGGUUACCUGUAGGCAAUGAAUUGUAGUAGUAUAAAAGAUUCUAAAGUUAAAACAGCUCAGAAUCAUUGCUUUAAAACAAUGUAUCUACCAAAGAGUCACCAAAAAAUGAUUAAUGACUUUAUUCAUUUUCCAGAAUCAGAGGUAUCACACACACCCAAACUCACAAACGAAAGCACACACGCACAUACACAUGCAGAAAUUCAAGCUGGUAAUCAGAGCAUGUGAUUGGGUGAAGAUUCAAAGGUUCUCAGUGUGACAACACUGACAUAAAGAAGUUAAAGUUCUAACACAAUUGUAAUGUCAGCAGGUAUAGCUUUCCUCUAGGUAAAGGACAGUAUUGCAACGAGAAAUUGAAGCACUGAAAAAUAUUUAUAGUUUCAAAAUUCACCUCCUUGAACCCCUAACAUGCAUACAAAUUCCACAUUGGGAUCUUUAUCACAACCUAAAAGGAAAAGCAUCUGAGCUAGAGCUCACAUUUUUAAAAUUUCUUUUCCUUAUUCUUCUAAAUAUCAUUUUAUAAGCACAGACACUAACAACAGCAUCAGCAUCAUUUAGAUCAAAUCCUUCUACCUUAUGGGGGGAAAAGAAGUAAGAAUCAGAAGAUUAUGAACAUUUCCAAUAUAUUCAUGUCCUUCUUUCCAGAUGAAAUUUGUAUUGGCAAAUUUACCUUUUCCUGGAGGUGGUGAAUCCUUCCUUCUUAUGGCUACUUUUGAACUGGGAUCUGCUUCUUUCAGGGUAAGCUGAAUGGGUUUUACAACAUAAUGAUUAAUAUAUCAUGUAUAUAUCACAAAGAUGAAAAUAUAUUUGUUUACUGUGGAUAAAGGAGGUUGCUCAGAAGAUUCUACAAAGCAAAAGGGACACAUAAUUAAGUACACGUAAAUAUGACACAGCCCACCAUCCACUAUGUAGUGUUUGUAUCCAGCUGAAAUCUUCAUGCUUGGUCUUGAAACCGUUACCUAUUAGGCUCUGGGUUGCUUUUGCUCUUGUUUUGGUUAGCAUACAGACAUGGCAGGAACAUACACAUGGAAAUCACAAUAUAGGUUUCAUAAAACAUGUAGUCCAGAUUUCAAGAGAGAGAUUAGGUUUCACAUGACUACAACUAACACAGAAAAGUACUUCUACCAAUGUGAUCCUCUUAACUGAAGCCAAAAAAUGUGAUGUCAGACGAAAGGACCAAAUAGGACCCCAGAAGGAUAUAUGUCAAAGCCCAUGGUAGAACGCUAUGGUGUACCCUGAAGAAAUCACCCAAGAACCAUUUAUACUAUAAUACUACAAUAGUUCUCCUGUUCUUCAUUUUGUCCUCUAACUUAAAAACUAUCAAUUUCAUUAAAAUGUAUCAUUCACUUCUGCUUGAAGGAUGUAUUCUCAGUUCAUUAGUUCAGAUAUCUACAUACAGAAGCAUAGUUAACAAAAAUACUCAUGUUGUCCAGUCAUGCAGGCUUCUGGUGUUUUUCCAUUUCCUGGAUUCUCAACUUUAGCCCUCCUGCCAUCUCUUCAUUCACUUAUGCAAAAAAUGUAUACAUUACACUCCAAAUACCUAAUGUGUAAUUAGAUUCCCAUAAAACAAAUCUAACCAAAAUAUUUGAAACAUCAGAGGCUUCAUGUUAAUCACCUUUUAUAUAUAAAAAUAUUUGCCAUGAUUAUUGAGUUACAUUUUAACAAACCUGCACGUUGUGCACAUGUACCCUAAAACUUAAAGUACAAUAAUAAUAAAAUUUAAAAAUAAAUAAAUAAAUAAUACUUAAGAAAUAUAUUUCUUGAUUGUUUUGCUUCCACAGUCAGUUUGACAUGCAGUGCAUCGCAUUUUGCUAACAUGAAGCACCUGUCCUAUUGUCGAUGUGUGACCCCUACAGAGAGAAGAAUUGAGUCCCUGUGGUUGACUCUCAUUCUUCCACCUUCUGCUUCCAGUAAGCUCUGAAGCAACAAUAAUCCAAUAUUCUGUUCGAGUGCGAAUAUACCAGGUCCACAUAAAGUGAGUUUUCUCAGGUUUCCUCAUCAGAAACCCCCAAACACCUAGCCAGCUGCUAUCUUUAUUUACACCAUCCCACCCCACUUGCACUCUUUUUUGUUGAUAAAUCUAAUCUCACUAUCCGGUCUUCAUUCUUUGCCUUCCACAUUUUGUUCUUCAUUAUUCUCACCACCCCUGUGAUUAAACCAGUAAAAUCUUGUUUUUAUAAAUAUGAAGAUAUGGUUUUCCUUUAUUAGAAUAUAAAAGUUACAGAAAAUGGACUAACUUGUACAAAUUCCUUCUUCACAAUAGCAGCCCCAUGUCCUCCUCUCUCCCAUAGACACACUGUUUCAUAGUUUCUAUUCACUCACAUCAGUUUCAUUGAAUAUCAACUCUCAUUUUAUCUUUAUGGCUUUAUUUUACACUAGGGGUUAUUAUCAAAGACUCAGCAAACUAUGUUACGUAUUUUCUUCUACAUGAGAGGUUACUGAGCAGUAAAUAAGAAUUUCUUUGGAUAUAAACACUUUUAUGUACACAAACUUUUUAUGAAGCUAAUUUAUGGUUAAAUACACAUUACACAAUUAUGUGUUAUGUGUUCCAGAGAAACAGGCUCUAAAAUUUUAUUAAACAUAUUUAAUUUAAAAACUUCUGCAAUUACAAUGACAUAGUCUCUGCUCAAUGCAGCAACAUCUUCAGAAAUCACUUGUGAAGACUUGGGAAAAUGUCAGUCAUUUACGUGAAAAAUGAGAGCAUUAAGUGACAACACUGCUUGCUGGUAUAAAUAAGACAAGGCUAGAUCCUUACCAGAUUCAAAGAGAUCAGAGUGCCAUGAGACAGAAACAAAUAUAUAAAACAGAAAGAUUUUCAUUUCUACCCAAAAAUCGUGUAUUUAAAGUUUUCAGAAAAGGACAAAAUGCAAGAAAACACAGCAGUGAGGCGUUACAGAGGAUUUCUUCAUCUGGAGACUAUUUAUCAUUUGACAUUCGGAAACCCUUUAUAGGGCCCAACAAAGGGGUUCUAAAACUGUGAUUUGAUCAUUCCUGGAGUUCAACAUCUAUGUAAGGAAGCCAAGGUACCAAAUGAUACUUUGGCCAUUUCUUCUUUCCAAUGUCAUUCUCUGAAAAGCAUACUCUGGGGUUUUUCAGAGUCAUAACAUGAUGGAAAAACAUGGCUCUAAGGAGUAAUGAAUAUAGUCAAUACAGCUAUGGCAGUGUACAUAGCUAUAUUCAGGGUAUCUGAAAUACUUCUAUUUAAUUUCUUAUAUAGUACAAAUCAAUAAACGCAACCACAUAAGCAAAUCUAUGUUGGUAUGUCAUCGUAUUUAUGUUCAUUUUGUAUCAGCAUGAAGAGACUUUAAUUAAUUGUGGUGCAGUCAUAAAAUGGCAUACCACAAGACCACACAACAAAUCAAAGAUGACCAAAUUGUGUCAACCUGAAUAGAUCUGAAAUAUAUACCACUGAUUAGAAAAGCCGAGUUGCAGCUAUUAUGUACGCUGUGUGAAAUCGUAUAGAAGACUUGAUACUUGGAAACAGAUUCUACACAUUACCUAUGAAAGUGCAAGUAUCUUGUAAAGUAUUUUUAAUGUGCAUUGCAGUGAUUUAAAAGAAAAAACGUUAAUUCAGGCUGUUGGUUACCUGUAGGCAAUAAAUUGUAGUAGAAGAAAAUAUUCUAAGGCCAAAACAGCUCAGAAUCAUUGUUUUAAAACACUGUAUCUACCAAAGAGUUACAAAAGAAUGAUUAAUCAUUUUAUUCAUUUUUAAUCAGAGAUACACACACACAUGCAGAAACUCAAUCUGGUAAUCAGAAGAUGUGAUUAAGUAAAGAUUCUCAAUGUAACAACACUGACAUAAAGGAGUUGAAGUUCUAAAACAAUUGUAACGUCAGCAGGUAUAGCUUUUCUCUAGAUGAAGAAGAGAGAAGAAUAUUGCAAUCAAUUUUGAAGCACUGAAAAUAUUUAGUGUCAAAAUACACCUCCUCAAAUCCCUAACAUGCACAGGAAUUCAAAACUGGGAUCUUUAGAUGAUGACAACUUUAAAGGAAAAGCAUUUGGGCUAGAGCUUAAGGUGUAAAAUGUCUGUCUUAUGCCUUAAAUAUCAUUUUAUAAACAAAGAUAUUAACAAGAACAUCAGCAUAUUUACAUCAAAUCCUUCCAUCUCAUUUGGAAAAAAAGUGGGAAUCAAAAAACAUGAGCAUUUUCAAUAUUUUCAUCUACAUUUUCUAGAAUGAAAUUUGUAGUGGCAAAUUUACCUUCGCUGAAGUUAGUGAAUCCAUACUUCCUAAGAAUCUAGUUGAAAUGUGAUCUCUGUCUUUCACCGGAUGCUGAAUGGGUUUGACAACAUAAUGAUUAACAUAUCAUGUAUAUAUCACAGAACAUUUUGUUAAUAAUUAAAGAAAAUAUGUUUACUGUGAAUAAAGGCGGUUGCUCAGGAGACACUACAAAGCAAAAGGAACACAUAAUUGACUACAGGUAAAUAUGACACAGCCUACCAUCAAUCAUGCAGUGUUUGUAUCCAGCUGAAAUCUUCGUGCUUGCCCUUGAAAUUGUUACCCAUUAGGCUUUGGGUUGCUUUGCUCUUGUUUUGGUUAGCACACAAACAUGACAGGAAUAUACACAUGAAAAAUCACAAUAUAGAUUCUAUAAAACAUGCAGUUCAGAUUGCAAGGGUGAGAUUAGGUUUCACAUGACUACAAGUAGCAUAGAAAAGUAUUUCUACCAAUGUGAAUCUGCUGGAUGAAGCCAAAAAAAGUGAUGUCAAAUGAGAGAACCAAAUCGGACCCCAGAAGAAUAAAUGUUAGAAACUAUGAAGUUGCAAUGAGAGUGCAUGAAAAUGUAUCAUUCACGGCCGGGCGUGGUGGCUCACCUUAAUCAACUUUUACAUAUCAAAAUCUUUGCCAUGAUUAUUGACAGUUACACUUUUAGUAUUCAAGAAAUAAAUUUCUCGUUUGUUUUUUCUAAAGUCAGUUUGAUAUGGUAUAGCAUAGCAGCCUCUGAGGUACCUUUAUACAAUGGCUAUUUCAUCAAAAACAGCAUUUUUUUAAAGAAAACCGCCAAUGUUUUGAUAUCCAAGUGCAUCCCAGUUAACUAACAAACAUGAAUGAAGCACAUAUGAUUGAUGUGUAACCCCUAUAGAGAGAAGAAAUGAGUUCCUGUGGUUUCCUGCUGUUCUUCUACCCUCUGCUUCCAGUAAGCUCCAAAGCAGCAAUAAUUUAAUCUUCUUUUUGAGUGGGAAUAUACUGAGUCUACAUAAAGUGAGUUCCCUCAAGUUUCCUCAUCAGAAACCUCCAAAUUACCUAGCCAGCUACUUUCUUAAUUUACACCAUCCCGCCUCACAUUUUUUUGUAAAUCUAAUGUCCAUUUCUCAACAAUGAAUAUUAUAUUUUGAUCUACAAGUUUAAAUGUUCAUCAAAGU
rnacentral:lncRNA from 1 species